AGAAGCGGGAGCUGUCCGACUCGACACCAGCAGCUGAUAGGAGCUUUGAACCACCAAAAGUCUCAGCAGCUCAAGGUGGAUUUACCCCCAGAGGAGACGACCACUACCACCAUUAACAUAAACCAGCUGAUAGACAUGGACCUGCUCAUUUCGAAGAAUAAGAAGCGUGAGGGCCAAACCCUCCCUGAAAAGU